UAAGAGAUGGAGUCUCACUCUGUUGCCCAGGCUGGGGCAGUUGCGUGAUCAUAGCUAACUGCUGCCUUGAAUUCCUGGGGUGAAGAGAUCCUCCUGCCUCAGCCUCUGAAGUAGCUGGGACUACCAGCGUGCACCAUCACACUCAGCUAAAGGCCAUUAAUUUCUGCCUGCUGAAGCUGUGAGAAAGCUCAGACUUCCAUCCCUACAUUGUUGAGAACUGGCAAUGUUACAAAGAAGAAACCCCUCAAGACUAUCCGACCAAACAUUUCGUCUCUGAGAAAUGUUCACUCACCCCAGGGUGUGGAACUGAAGGAGUAUUGGUGCCAGUGUCUCCAGACAAGCCUUCUGCAGGAAGCCCUGUGCUUUACCACGAGAGUUUUCUCCAGGGUCAGAGACAGUGGAAGUCGCACUGAAACACUGGAAAACAUUACAUGCAAGAAAAUUCUUAGAAUUGAAUUCUGGUGUGAGUAAUGAAAUAUUUCCCUUUGCAAAAAAAUCAAUUUAGUCAUCAGAUCAAAAUCUGAACCAGUCUUGUUUAUAAUGGCUAUAAAAAUGUAAAUCAAGCAAUUGCUGACUUGGUUUCUUACCUGUCCACCCAUUGUAUGUCAUGAACAAACUGAAAUGCAGUCUCUCGCUUUAGAGCUAAACAGUGCUAUUUUUAUGGAGGAAGUCCCUGAAUUUUGAUGUGAAAUAUUUUUCUCUAAAUUCUGCCAUCUGGGAAAGCUUUAUAAAAUCUUGUUUUCUAACACACCUAUCAAUAAAAUAUAAUGCUUAAAUCAGACAAUAAAAUAUGAUUAUUUAUAUUUAUAUGUUCUGUCAAUCUAUAUGAUGUAGCAGGAGUUCUGUGUCCAUCAGAAUCUCUUUUCCAGUCCUUUCUACUUCUGGAUCGCACAUGAGGCUGGUCCCAAUCCACACCACUGAGAAAAUCCUG
rnacentral:lncRNA from 10 species